rnacentral:rRNA from 1 species
UACGUAGGGGGGCAAGCGUUGUCCGGAAUUAUUGGGCGUAAAGAGCGUGUAGGCGGUCCGGUAAGUCAGCUGUGAAAGUCAAGGGCUCAACCCUUGAAAGCCGGUUGAUACUGUCGGGCUAGAGUCCGGAAGAGGCGAGUGGAAUUCCCGGUGUAGCGGUGAAAUGCGCAGAUAUCGGGAGGAACACCCAAUGGCGAAGGCAGCUCGCUGGGACGGUACUGACGCUGAGACGCGAAAGCGUGGGGAGCAAACAGG